rnacentral:rRNA from 1 species
UACGUAGGUGGCGAGCGUUGUCCGGAUUUACUGGGCGUAAAGAGCGCGCAGGCGGUCGUAUAAGUCGAAUGUGAAAGCCCCUGGCUCAACUAGGGAGAGUCAUUCGAUACUGUUCGACUCGAAGGCAGGAGAGGGAAGUGGAAUUCCGGGUGUAGUGGUGAAAUGCGCAGAUAUCGGGAAGAACACCUAUGGCGAAGGCAGCUCUCUGGGACGGUACUGACGCUGAGACGCGAAAGCGUGGGGAGCGAACAGG